rnacentral:rRNA from 1 species
ACGCUAGCUACAGGCUUAACACAUGCAAGUCGAGGGGAAACGACAUUGAAAGCUUGCUUUUAAUGGGCGUCGACCGGCGCACGGGUGCGUAACGCGUAUCGAACCUGCCCUUUACUCAGGGAUAGCCUUGCGAAAGUAAGAUUAAUACCUGAUAGUGUUGCGAUGAGGCAUCUUGUUGCAACUAAAGAUUUAUUGGUAAAGGAUGGCGAUGCGUCUGAUUAGGUAGUAGGCGGGGUAAUGGCCCACCUAGCCGACGAUCAGUAGGGGUUCUGAGAGGAAGGUCCCCCACAUUGGAACUGAGACACGGUCCAAACUCCUACGGGAGGCAGCAGUGAGGAAUAUUGGUCAAUGGACGAGAGUCUGAACCAGCCAAGUAGCGUGCAGGACGACGGCCCUCUGGGUUGUAAACUGCUUUUAGUUGGGAACAUAAAAGGCGACGUGUCGCCUCUGGAGUGUACCAUCAGAAAAAGGACCGGCUAAUUCCGUGCCAGCAGCCGCGGUAAUACGGAAGGUCCAGGCGUUAUCCGGAUUUAUUGGGUUUAAAGGGAGCGUAGGCGGACGAUUAAGUCAGCUGUGAAAGUUUGCGGCUCAACCGUAAAAUUGCAGUUGAAACUGGUUGUCUUGAGUGCACGCAGGGAUGUUGGAAUUCAUGGUGUAGCGGUGAAAUGCUUAGAUAUCAUGAAGAACUCCGAUCGCGAAGGCAUAUGUCCGGAGUGCAACUGACGCUGAGGCUCGAAAGUGCGGGUAUCGAACAGGAUUAGAUACCCUGGUAGUCCGCACAGUAAACGAUGAAUACUCGCAGUAUGCGAUAUAAUGUAUGCUGCCAAGUGAAAACGUUAAGUAUUCCACCCUGGGGAGUACGCCGGCAACGGUGAAACUCAAAGGAAUUGACGGGGGCCCGCACAAGCGGAGGAACAUGUGGUU